rnacentral:lncRNA from 1 species
CUUAAAUCAAGAUGUCAGCAGGGCCAGCCUCCCUCUGAAGCCUGGACACCAGUCAUAUUGGAUUAGGAGCUCACCCUACUCCAGUAUGACCUCAUUUUAACUUGAUUACAUCUGCAAAGACCUUCUUUCCAAAUAAGGCUUACCUUCACAGGAACUGGGGAUUACUAUUGAAACAAAUCUUUUGGAAAAAAACACUGCAACCCAUUACAGGUGCCUAAGACUAGAAAGAUGGGUCAGAGCUGCUACUGCCAGUGUGAGAAAGUGGACAAGUUGGAGUUCACCUGGGAAUAAGAUCCUUGGAUGGAGGAGCAAACUCCAGCUAGAGGACCGAAGCCUUGAAAUCAUUUAUUCUGCAGAUCAGUGUUUCUCAAAACGGGGUUCCCCUAGCCAUCAGCAUUAGCGUCAGCUGAGAAACAUGUAAGGCAUGUAAAUUCUUAUGCUCCAACCUAAGCCUACUGAAUUGGAAACUCUGGGCUGGGGUAGUUUCUUAUUUUAAUAAGCCUUCCUGGUGACUCUGAUGCACACUAAAGUUUGAGACCCAUUCCUCUAAAUUCUGCCGUCUCUCCUCACUGCAUCACUUUUCAGUGGGGCUGCCCUUGGACACUGGCAGAUAUUUUGGGUUAAAGAAGAAAGUUAUUUGGUCAAAAUGAGUGUGGGCAGCAUUGUAUUGGUCUAUGUUGAACAGGUUCCUUGACUGAAGGCUAUCUCUGAGCUUUUGCUAUGCUGUAUGCAGUGAGCAUUGAACAUUUGUUAGAAGAGGAAUGAUGGCAUUUCCAGAUUUCACUGCAAAGAGAAGUGUCCCUUUUGUAUGGAGUUUCCCAUCAGACUGGUGUUCCGUGAAUUUACACUGGGAAACAUGGCUCUAGUCCACAUAUCAAGGCAUUCAGUGAAUUUUUAUGAACCGCCUUGUGAGAACAAGACACUGUGCUGGAGAGAUACAUCUGUGAACAAGACGUGGCUUCCGUCUCUAGGAAACUGAUAGUCUAGUGCAGGAGCUGGCACACCACAGGCUGUGGGCCAAGUCUGGCCUGCCAUCUGUUUUUGUAUGGC